CCUUAGUACGGCGAGUGAGCGGUAAAAGCUCAAAUUUGAAAUCUGGUACUUUCAGUGCCCGAGUUGUAAUUUGUAGAAUUUGUCUUUGAUUAGGUCCUUGUCUAUGUUCCUUGGAACAGGACGUCAUAGAGGGUGAGAAUCCCGUUUGGCGAGGAUACCUUUUCUCUGUAAGACUUUUUCGAAGAGUCGAGUUGUUUGGGAAUGCAGCUCAAAGUGGGUGGUAAAUUCCAUCUAAAGCUAAAUAUUGGCGAGAGACCGAUAGCGAACAAGUACAGUGAUGGAAAGAUGAAAAGAACUUUGAAAAGAGAGUGAAAAAGUACGUGAAAUUGUUGAAAGGGAAGGGCAUUUGAUCAGACAUGGUGUUUUUUGCAUGCACUCGCCUCUCGUGGGCUUGGGCCUCUCAAAAAUUUCACUGGGCCAACAUCAAUUCUGGCAGCAGGAUAAAUCAUUAAGAAUGUAGCUACUUCGGUAGUGUUAUAGCUUUUUGGAAUACUGUUAGCCGGGAUUGAGGACUGCGCUUCGGCAAGGAUGUUGGCAUAAUGGUUAAAUGCCGCCCGUCUUGAAACACGGACCAAAA
rnacentral:rRNA from 1 species